AUUGAACGCUGGCGGCAGGCCUAACACAUGCAAGUCGAGCGGCAGCGGAAAGUAGCUUGCUACUUUGCCGGCGAGCGGCGGACGGGUGAGUAAUGUCUGGGAAACUGCCUGAUGGAGGGGGAUAACUACUGGAAACGGUAGCUAAUACCGCAUAACGUCGCAAGACCAAAGAGGGGGACCUUCGGGCCUCUUGCCAUCAG
rnacentral:rRNA from 1 species